rnacentral:tRNA from 1 species
UCUCUGGUGGUCCAGUGGUUAGGACUCACUGCUCUCAUUGCCAUGGCCCAGGUUCAAUCCCUGGUCAGAAAA